UCUCCUCCUUCCCUCUUUCCUCCUCUUUGAUUGAUCCUAUUCUCCUCCAUCAUGACAUCACUCUUUUCUCUUCCUCCUUUUCGCCCUCACUCAUUCUCCUCCUCCAUGGGAGCUUCUUUUAUUUUUAUCCAUUCUUCCACCGCCUCCCCUCCCUCCUCCUCCUCAUCCUCCUCCCUUCUUCCUCUUUCCUCGCCUCUGAUUGAUCCCCUUCUCCUCCCUUCCUCCUCCUCCUUCUCCUUCUCAUCCUCUUCCUCCAUCCUCUUCCUUCUCAUCCUCUUCCUCCCUCCUUCCUCCUAUCUAAUAAUCACCUCCUCCCUUCCUCCUUUUCCAAGCCGCCCAUAAGCUAUCCCUCUCCAUGGUGGCUUCCGCCUCCUCAUCUUCUUCUUCCUCUUCUAAACCCACCCAUAAGCGAGAGACAUUUCUAUCCAUUAAGAGAACAAGAUAACAUCAUUUAUUGAUAAAUGAACAAUUAGAUCAUAUUGGAGUAUAUCAAUAACUAGAGG
rnacentral:lncRNA from 1 species